UACGGGGGGGCAAGCGUUGUUCGGAAUUACUGGGCGUAAAGGGCUCGUAGGCGGCCAACUAAGACAGACGUGAAAUCCCCAGGCUCAACCUGGGAACUGCGUCUGAUACUGGAUGGCUUGAAUCCGGGAGAGGGAUGCAGAAUUCCAGGUGUAGCGGUGAAAUGCGUAGAUAUCUGGAGGAAUACCGGUGGCGAAGGCGGCAUCCUGGACCGGCAUUGACGCUGAGGAGCGAAAGCCAGGGGAGCAAAGCGGG
rnacentral:rRNA from 1 species